UGGCAGUGUAUUGUUAGCUGGUUGAGUAUGUGAGCGGCACCAGCUAACAUGCGACUGCUCUC
rnacentral:pre_miRNA from 1 species